rnacentral:rRNA from 1 species
UACGGGGGGGGUAAGCGUUGUUCGGAAUUACUGGGCGUAAAGGGCGCGUAGGCGGUACUUCAAGUCAGGCGUGAAAGCCCCGGGCUCAACCUGGGAACCGCGCUUGAGACUGGAGAACUAGAGUUCGGGAGAGGAUGGUGGAAUUCCCAGUGUAGAGGUGAAAUUCGUAGAAAUUGGGAAGAACACCGAUGGCGAAGGCAGCCAUCUGGACCGACACUGACGCUGAGGCGCGAAAGCGUGGGGAGCAAACAGG